GGAGGAAUACCCAAGUCUGGCUGAAGGGAUCGGUCUUGAAAACCGACAGGCGGGUCAUACCGCGCGGGGGUUCGAAUCCCUCUUCCUCCUCCA
rnacentral:tRNA from 31 species